rnacentral:rRNA from 1 species
AAAUUGAGGGGGGCCCGCACAAGCGGUGGAGCAUGUGGUUUAAUUCGAAGCAACGCGAAGAACCUUACCAGGUCUUGACAUCCCGAUGCUAUUUCUAGAGAUAGAAAGUUACUUCGGUACAUCGGUGACAGGUGGUGCAUGGUUGUCGCCAGCUCGUGUCGUGAGAUGUUGGGUUAGGUCCCGCAACGAGCGCAACCCCUAUUGUUAGUUGCCAUCAUUCAGUUGGGCACUCUAGCGAGACUGCCGGUAAUAAACCGGAGGAAGGUGGGAUGACGUCAAAUCAUCAUGCCCCUUAUGACCUGGGCUACACACGUGCUACAAUGGUUGGUACAACGAGUUGCGAGUCGGUGACGGCGAGCUAAUCUCUUAAAGCCAAUCUCAGUUCGGAUUGUAGGCUGCAACUCGCCUACAUGAAGUCGGAAUCGCUAGUAAUCGCGGAUCAGCACGCCGCGGUGAAUACGUUCCCGGGCCUU